rnacentral:rRNA from 1 species
AUUGAACGCUGGCGGCAUGCUUUACACAUGCAAGUCGAACGGCAGCACGGGCUUCGGCCUGGUGGCGAGUGGCGAACGGGUGAGUAAUAUAUCGGAACGUACCCAGAAGUGGGGGAUAACGUAGCGAAAGUUACGCUAAUACCGCAUACGAUCUAUGGAUGAAAGCUGGGGACCGCAAGGCCUUGUGCUCCUGGAGCGGCCGAUAUCUGAUUAGCUAGUUGGUGAGGUAAAGGCUCACCAAGGCGACGAUCAGUAGCUGGUCUGAGAGGACGACCAGCCACACUGGAACUGAGACACGGUCCAGACUCCUACGGGAGGCAGCAGUGGGGAAUUUUGGACAAUGGGCGCAAGCCUGAUCCAGCAAUGCCGCGUGAGUGAAGAAGGCCUUCGGGUUGUAAAGCUCUUUUGUCAGGGAAGAAACGGUAGAGGCUAAUAUCCUUUGCUAAUGACGGUACCUGAAGAAUAAGCACCGGCUAACUACGUG